rnacentral:misc_RNA from 1 species
AAGACUAUAGACCUGCGGAGUACCUGCGGAAGGAUCAUUACAGAGUUGCAAAACUCCCAAACCAUUGUGAACGUUACCUUCUCGUUGCUUCGGCGGGCGGCCCGGGUCCUUCCCGGCGCCCCCCGGCCCCUCGCGGGCGCCCGCCGGAGGUAAACCAAACUCUUGAAUUGUAUGGCCUCUCUGAGUCUUCUGUACUGAAUAAGUCAAAACUUUUAGCAAUGGAUCUCUAGAUCGGAAGAG